rnacentral:rRNA from 1 species
GACGAGGGGUCCAAGCGUUGUUCGGAAUCACUGGGCGUAAAGGGUGCGUAGGCGGGUCUUUAAGUCAGGGGUGAAAUCCUGGAGCUCAACUCCAGAACUGCCUUUGAUACUGAGGAUCUUGAGUUCGGGAGAGGUGAGUGGAACUGCGAGUGUAGAGGUGAAAUUCGUAGAUAUUCGCAAGAACACCAGUGGCGAAGGCGGCUCACUGGCCCGAUACUGACGCUGAGGCACGAAAGCGUGGGGAGCAAACAGG